UGCGAGAUCGUCUAGUGGUAGGACAGCGGAUUCUGGCUCCGCUAACCCUGGUUCGAAUCCAGGUCUCGCAG
rnacentral:tRNA from 1 species